UCCUGACCUCAAGUGAUUCUCCUGCCUUGGCCUCCCAGAGUGCUAGGAUUACAGGCCUGAGCCACCAUUCCUGGCCUCUGACUCUUUCUUAAUUGCGGAUGUUUCCUUUUUUCUUUUGUAAUUUAAAAAUUUUUUUAUUUUGACAUAAUCACAAACUUAAAAGUUACAAGUACAGUACAAAGAACUUUCCUCCCCUAAACUAUUUGAGAAUAUGUUGUCAACCUGAUGCCUCAUCACCCCCAAAUACUUUAGUGUGUAUUUCCUACAAACAGGACAUUUUUCCUGCAUAACUACAAUACAGCCAUCAACAUCAGGAAGUUAGUAUUGGUAUGUUACUAACAUGUAAUCCUCAGAUCCCAUUCAACUUUUGCUGCUUGUCCCGGCAAUGCCCUUUAUAGCGAAAGGAUCUAUGUUGUCAUAUCUCUUCAGUCUUUGUUAGUCUUCUCUUGGCUUUCAUGAUCAUGACACUUCUGAAUUUACAGGCCACUUAUUUCUUAGAUUGUCCCUCAACUCGAUGUUUCCUCCUGACUAGAUCCAGGGUUUGCAUCCUAAGUAGCACAGUCACGGAAGUGACACCGUGUUGUCCUCGCUGCGUCCUGUUAGGGGCGUGUGAUUUCCGUGUGUCCACACCGCUGCUCUCUCUGACCACGCAGUGGCGGCGGUGCCUGCCAGCGUUCUCCUCUGAAGCAUCUCUUCCACAAUUAAUUGUCAAUUAGAGUCAGACCAGGACAGGGGUUUGCUUAACCCUGACAUUCUCUGCCAUGCACCUCAGCUGCCAUAAAAGCUGCAAAUCAUUCCAGCAUUUCCUGUGGAUGCAGGUUCUGCAGGAGUCUGGUUGCUGGAGAAUUCUGGAGGGUUGAAAUGGGGAUAAGGGAAGUUAUGUAAAUAAGUUACAUAGAAGUGGAAGCUAAUGGAACAAAUGAGGAAUUUUAUUGGUAUCUAGUAAAAUGAAAAAAAAAAGUAAGCUCAAAACAAAAUGUCUUGGGUGUUUGACAUAGAAUCUGGAAGUUUGAAUCCUAUGUUAGGACCACAGGCAUAUGAGAAAUCCAAUAGCAGUAAUACAAUAAUUGAUUUCUAUUUUCCUAAAAUCCAAAAAUAGUCAUUUCAAAAUACUGUGUGGAUAAUUUCUAUGAAAGAUAACUUUUUAUGAAUUUAUUCUCCCUUAAUAGCAGUCUUACAUGUAGAUUGGACUUUUUCAUACCAAUGCAAAUUAUUACAAAUGCUGUAAUCACAAAUGCUGGUCUUAGAGCUGAAUUUACCCUUCGUGUCUCAUUAAAGUCAUGGGAUCAUAGAGCAAAAACAGAUUUUGAAAGGCUAUUGAGCCCAGUGCUCUGCCUUUAGGCAAAGGCAAGUCAUUGCAAACAAGAUAAAAAAAUCAAUCUUACUUCAAAGUUUCUAGAGAGCGGUUUGCAUAACCUGAGGCAAAAAAGCAAAUGCCUGAGCUAUUGACAUAUUUAACAAAAAAGUAUACUGAGUUAUUUAUUCAAAGACUUGUCUUGCUAAUCAUGUCCAUGUAAUAGCUUGUCUGUGGUGUUUGAUGGUUAAUGAGAUGUGAUCUAACAUGUAAUCCACAAUCAUUUUAAUUUUGAAUUAUUUUUGUAAUUAGGCUUUUUUCCUACGGGCUAUAAGGCUCUUCAAAACAUUAUACUCUGUAUUUAGGUCUUACUCAUGAGAAAUACAGUACGUAUGAAGAGGCUGGGAUUUGAAUCAGAACACCUGGAUUCAAGUACUUUCCCCUGCGAUUUAGUCCCUUGGGAAAGUUAUUUCGCUUCUCAGAGCUUUGAAAUGUUAGUACUGAUAUGUGUCUGAGCUUUUUUUUUUGAUCAGAUUUUUCUGUGUCUUGAAGAUAGGGUGGUAUAAAAAGGCUUUGUAACAAGCUCACAUUACGUUUCUGUUUGUAUGAGGAAGGCCAUGUUCAUAUAAUUUGUCACUCAUAAGAAAGAACUACAGGUUUGUUGUUAAUUCCACUCAAUUACGAGGUGUUCGUCUCCAACACGAGUGAUCCUUAACCAAGCAAGAAAUGCCCAUAGAGGGGAACGUGUCCUUGCAGGUGACGUGCAGGCUCUCGUUGUGUUGCUGUGUUGCUGUGUUGCCAGCAGCAGCCCUGAGCAUGUGACGACUUGGUUCCCGCAGUACUGUGCUCAUUGAACCCUACCAACAAGCCUGCAGAAUUGAGUUGUUAUCCUCACUGCAGGCGAUG